GUGGGCGUAGUUCAGUGUUAGAAUGCUUGUCCAGCAUGUGCGAGGCCCUGGGUUCUGUCCCCAGCGCCACA
rnacentral:tRNA from 1 species